UAGGGAAUCUUCCACAAUGGACGCAAGUCUGAUGGAGCAACGCCGCGUGAGUGAAGAAGGUUUUCGGAUCGUAAAGCUCUGUUGUUGGUGAAGAAGGAUAGAGGUAGUAACUGGCCUUUAUUUGACGGUAAUCAACCAGAAAGUCACGGCUAACUACGUGCCAGCAGCCGCGGUAAUCGUAGGUGGCAAGCGUUGUCCGGAUUUAUUGGGCGUAAAGCGAGCGCAGGCGGAAGAAUAAGUCUGAUGUGAAAGCCCUCGGCUUAACCGAGGAAUUGCAUCGGAAACUGUUUUCUUGAGUGCAGAAGAGGAGAGUAGAACUCCAUGUGUAGCGGUGGAAUGCGUAGAUAUAUGGAAGAAUACCAGUGGCGAAGGCGGCUGUCUGGUCUGCAACUGACGCUGAGGCUCGAAAGCAUGGGUAGCGAACAGGAUUAGAUACCCUUGGUAGUCCAUGCCGUAAACGAUGAGUGCUAAGUGUUGGGAGGCUUCCGCCUCUCAGUGCUGCAGCUAACGCAUUAAGCACUCCGCCUGGGGGAGUACGACCGCAAGGUUGAAAC
rnacentral:rRNA from 1 species